rnacentral:rRNA from 1 species
UACGGGGGGGGCAAGCGUUGUUCGGAAUUACUGGGCGUAAAGGGCUCGUAGGUGGCCAACUAAGUCAGACGUGAAAUCCCUCGGCUUAACCGGGGAACUGCGUCUGAUACUGGAUGGCUUGAGUUUGGGAGAGGGAUGCGGAAUUCCAGGUGUAGCGGUGAAAUGCGUAGAUAUCUGGAGGAACACCGGUGGCGAAGGCGGCAUCCUGGACCAACACUGACACUGAGACACGAAGGCCAGGGGAGCAAACGGG